GAUGAGGAACGCAGCGAAAUGCGAUAAGUAAUGUGAAUUGCAGAAUUCAGUGAAUCAUCGAAUCUUUGAACGCACAUUGCGCCCGCCAGUAUUCUGGCGGGCAUGCCUGUUCGAGCGUCAUUACAACCCUCAGGCCCCCGGGCCUGGCGUUGGGGAUCGGCGGAGCCCCCCGUGGGCACACGCCGUCCCCCAAAUGCAGUGGCGGUCCCGCCGCAGCUUCCAUCGCGUAGUAGCUAACACCUCGCGACUGGAGAGCGGCGCGGCCACGCCGUAAAACACCCAACUCUUCUGAAGUUGACCUCGAAUCAGGUAGGAAUACCCGCUGAACUUAAGCAUAUCAAUAAGCGGAGGA
rnacentral:misc_RNA from 1 species